CUUUUUCUUCGAUUUGAGCUCUUAGAAAAAAUAACGCUGUUAUCCCUAAGGUAAUUUUUUCUUUCAAUCUAUAAUAUUAGGAUCAAAUAAGCCAUUUAAAAAUGUUUUAUAUAAAAAAAAGUUAAUUAAAUUUUUCAGUCACCCCAACCUAAUUUUUUACCACUUUGAGAUAUUAAUAAUUCUAAAUAUAAACUCAAAAAGCAAAAAAUAAAACUCUAUAGGGUCUUCUCGUCUUUCAUAUAUAUUUAAGCUUUUUUACUUAAAAAUAAAAUUCAAAAAAAUUAAAUUGAGACAGUUGUUUUUUCAUCAAACCUUUCAUUCCAGCUUCUAAUUAAGAAACUAAUGAUUAUGCUACCUUAGCACAGUCAAAAUACUGCGGCCAUUUAA
rnacentral:rRNA from 1 species